rnacentral:rRNA from 1 species
CCCUUAGAUGAUUUGGGCUGCACGCGCGCUACACUGACCCUAACAAUGAGCAACUGUCUGGCCUGAGAUGGCUGGGUAGCCUUUUCAACCCAUGUCAUGAUUGGGCUAGAUUUUUGUAAGUCUUGAUCUCUAACGAGGAAUCCCUAGUAUGCGUGAAUCAUCAAUCCAUGCAGAUUAUGUCCCUGCCCUUUGUACACACCGCCCGUCGCUCCUACUGAUUGGGUGAUCCGGUGAGCUGUUCGGCCAUAGCAAUGUUUCUUGAGCAGUGCAAUGAAUGUUUCGCAAACCUUGCCACUUAGAGGAAGGAGAAGUCGUAACA